CACAGACCUACUCCCCUGGGGGCUGAGGGAGGUCACUGGGAGGUGAUCUUUUUCCACCUCGGAUUGAGCAAGAGAAGGCUGCCAGUGGCCCAGACUUUGAAACAGGCCAGGCAGAGGCCAGGCUGAGUCCUCCACCCUCAUUGCAGGAGUCCAGCGUCUGGCCUGGGGACUUCCCUCACCAGAUCUGUUGACCAACUUCUAGAAACCCCUGCUUUGGGGUUGUGAAUUAGAAGGGCUGUUUUGACCCUGAAUAUCAGGCUUCCCUUCCUCCCAGGCAUUUCUUUCCCGAGGAGGAAGGUUUCCAGUCCCUCUCCCAACCCCCACCCUCAGCAAGCCACAAAGCCUCCACCGUCUUCAGCUGGUUACAGGUCAGGAUCCAGGUCGGGGGGGAGGGGCAGGUCUCCUGAGGCUAGACUUGAGGAAUGUUUAGGCCAACUCACCAGGCAGAGGAGGAAGGGGCCAGUUUAGAUCACUAAGCCAAUUAAAAACAACCAGCCAGAAAGAACCUUUCUCCUUCCUGACAGCUACUCUGCCAGCUACCUCCUGGGUUUUGUUGG
rnacentral:lncRNA from 10 species